rnacentral:rRNA from 1 species
GAUGGACGCUGGCGGCGUGCCUAAUACAUGCAAGUCGAGCGAACAGACGAGGAGCUUGCUCCUCUGACGUUAGCGGCGGACGGGUGAGUAACCCGUGGAUAACCUACCUAUAAGACUGGGAUAACUUCGGGAAACCGGCGAUAAUACCGGAUAAUAUAUUGAACCGCAUGGUUCAAUAGUGAAAGACGGUUUUGCUGUCACUUAUCGAUGGAUCCGCGCCGCAUUAGCUAGUUGGUAAGGUAACGGCUUACCAAGGCAACGAUGCGUAGGCGACCUGAGAGGGUGAUCGACCACACUGGAACUGAGACGCGGUCCAGACUACUACGGGAGGCACCAGUAGGGAAUGUUCCGCAAUAGGCGAAAGCCUGGCGGAGCGACGCCGCGUGAGUGGUGAAGGUCUUCGGAUCGUAAAGCGCUGUUAUUAGGGAUGAACAAAUGUGGAAGUAACUGUGCACGUCGUGACGGUAACUAAUCAAAAAGCCACGGCUAACUCCGUG